CAUAUUUUUUUUGCCAGUGCAUACCCGAGUGUAUGAAAUCAGUUGACAAAGGGGAUGGACAAGGAAAGUUGUAAAUAAGUGACUCCAUUUGAGACGCGAGCAUGGUCAUUGCACGGUUCACUGUUUUAGCCCAGCUGCUUGCAAACUGAAGGAUAUAUCAGGAAAAAUGAUGUAUCGGGGUAGGGGGGAGAAAAAAAGGGGAAAAGAGCCCCGUAACUGGGCAGAUAGUCUGCAGGAGAUCAGUUCCCCAGCUUUCUCCAGAGUCAGCAUGGCCAAUAUUUAUCAUACAUGGAUGUGUGUUUGCGCGGAUAAGGUACCCAGUUAAGAUUUUCGGAGACUGAACUAGAGUGUCGUUUGAGACACAGCCUGAUUGGACUACACUCAGAAGCAAAGUGUCUUGAGAGGCCAACGGAGAAAGAAGAGAUAACAAUAAAACAAGGAGUUAAAAUGUAAGAACCUGGUGAAGGAAGCUACUUGAAAGAGGUACAUGACCUUCAUUCUCUUGGCCAAAGGCAGCCAUCGCGGGAUUGUGGUGGAGGAAAGACAUGGCUAGGGAGGAAAUGUUGAAAGUGUCUUAUGAGGCAUUCGAAAAGAGAUGAAAACAAGAUGAGUCUGGGUUUUGAAAGCAAGAAUAGAAUUAAGAGACUUUGUCUUUGACAUUUGGCAGCCCGCAUACAUCUGUGACAUUCUCACGUCCCUGAUACUAGACGUUACCUGAGCUCCUUGGCCCCUGAUGCUCUUCUGAGGAUUUGGCCUUGGGCGUGUGCACAGUUCCCUGCACUGACAAUGAGAAGAUGUAGUAUCCAGUCCUCCUAAGAUAACUCCUCUACUCUGCUGGGCAAGAACAUUGUUCACCAACCUUCUUCAAUCGCCUCCUCCAACCCCAAAUUAAACUCUCAGAGAGAUGACUGAAGGUUUGAAAUCUUGGCCUACUUUAUACAACUAAGUCAAAAGCCUGUACAUCCCAUGGACUACCAUCAUCUCCUACCUGGAAGAGAGCACCUACAUGUGUCGAUGGUCCUCUUCUUGGAGGUUGAAGUUCAGAAGGAUGCUAUCCGGUAGUUGAAGUGAAGUGACGUUGUUCUUUCAAAAGAGCCAUAUUUACAAGAAGAAGGGGAAAAUGCAAACAGGAAAGACUUCAGGCAGCGUGGACACAUAUCCUGCUUUUCUUCAUGGGAGACCAUAAAGAUCUCCUCAAGUUGUUUAACAAGGAAACUCUUCGAGAAAGUAGACAUAAAAAAAAAAAACAUGAUGUUGAACCAGGAGCAAGGAAAAGGGUACCUUUCCCUCAGUGGUUCUGUCCUUUUGAUGUCUGUACAUCAGUCCCAUUCAGAACCUCGGAAGAAAAACAGACAACGGAGGAUCAUCUGAUAAGACUGAUCCCAGGAGAGAAGAAAGCGGGCGGAAACCGAGAAGUCGGAUACGCGGCAACGUCAGAGACAUCUAAGUGUGCGAUCUCAAAUUCCUCCGUUUGUAGGAUGAAAGCUCUGUUAGAGUCCGCUAGCGCUUACCAUAGACAUUAUUAGUCCUUCCUGUCUGAUCUUUCCUGAAAAGUUAUCUAUGGACCUUGACAUGUGUGGAGUGCAAGCCAACCUCAAGGGAGCAUAUGAAAUGCCAUUUUCUUAUGUGACCAUGAUGAAGAAGUACUCUGUAAGAUGUGUGAAUGGCAUCAUCACAGGAGACAGGAUUGGUCUGAAAUCAAUCUCUUGAAGAAUAAGAAGUUAACCCACCAUUCCCGGUUCAGAAUGCUAUACAUCUCACUUCUUGAUAAUUUACUUGCCCAGGAUUAUGCGCAUUAUUAAAUGUUGUCACCUUACUGCUACUUGUAUCUUGUAUUUUUAUUGAUAGCCCUCUAAUGACAGAAUAGUGUGUUGUAGAUAUUCAUUAAGAAUGAUUUAGUAAAUGAAUGAAGAUCAUAGAGUGAGUCUACAUUGUAGUUCAAUCAGCAUUUUCUUGUCCUUUCAAAUGAAAAGUCCAAAUUAAUCAUCAUUUUCUUUUUCUCAACUCUUUGCCAUGUUUACAUUUUAGGUGUUAUUAAAAUAUAAACUUGUAAUUUCAAUUAUUUAUGUUACAGCAUAAAUUAUUGACUUUCACAGGGUUGUCUGUUUUA